rnacentral:rRNA from 1 species
AUUGAACGCUGGCGGCAGGCCUAACACAUGCAAGUCGAACGAGUGGCGGACGGGUGAGUAAUGUCUGGGAAACUGCCCGAUGGAGGGGGAUAACUACUGGAAACGGUAGCUAAUACCGCAUACCAUCGGAUGUGCCCAUAUGGGAUUAGCUAGUAGGUGGGGUAAAGGCUCACCUAGGCGACGAUCCCUAGCUGGUCUGAGAGGAUGACCAGCCACACUGGGACUGAGACACGGCCCAGACUCCUACGGGAGGCAGCAGUGGGGAAUAUUGCGCAAUGGGCGCAAGCCUGAGGCAGCCAUGCCGCGUGAGUGAAGAAGGUCUUCGGGUUGUAAAGUACUUUCGGUAGGGAGGCGGUACCUACAGAAGAAGCAACGGCUAACUCCGUGCCAGCAGCCGCGGUAAUAC